UGUCAACCCCACUCGCAAUUUCUUUUAUUAUUGCAACAGCUAAAGCUUUGGGUCACAAUAUUGAAGAUCUGGUUAUUAAUUGUACAAGUUUGAGAAAACAGCGCAAGGAAUAUCGUCGGCGUCAUGGUACAGAAAUUAGUGAGAAUUUCAAGAUCCCUGAUACAUUUGUGUUACACUGGGACGGUAACUACUUCCUGCAAUGACUGGAAAGGAAAAAGUAGAACGCCUAGCUAUUGUUUUAACGGCAGCUAAUAUAGAAAAAUUAAUUUCCAUUCCAAUUAUUGAAUGUGGAACUGAAAAAAUGAAUAUGAUAAAUUCGGUGGAAAUGGUAUGCUUUGUCACGACAGCUACAAACACUGGUAAACGUAACGGUGCUGGAAUGUUGCUGGAACAAAAAUUGAAACGUAUCUUGUUGUGGUUGCCAUGCAGGCAUCAUAUUGCAGAAAUCAUACUACGAGCUGUAUUUGAAAUAUAUUUUGGAAAAUCUUGUGGCCCGGAAGUUGCCAUAUUUGAACGUUUUUCGCGGGAAUGGAACACUUUCAAUUCAAAAGAUCUUUCAAUUGGAAUCAUGGAUGAAGAAGUGUGACGUGCUAUAAAUGCAGAGGAAUGUGAAGCCAAUAAAGAAUUUUGCAUCAAAAAUAUAGCAAAAGACCACAUUCGCCAUUGAUUACAAAGAGCUAUUGCAACUCAUGUUUAUUAGGUGGAGGCAUCCCGAACUUUUCCUUUCGUGCACCUGGCGCGACGUCACAUGCCAGGUUUAUGUCAAAAGCGAUAUAUGCCUUAAAAAUGUUUGCUUUGCAAAAACAAUUUAAAAUGUCUUCCAGCCAUUUGAAUUGAUUCCGCAAUGUGUGUAUUUUCCUGGUGCGUCUUUAUAUUCCGUAUUGGUUUCGAACUACUAAUGCAGUCGAAGCACCAAAUUUGGAUUAGCCUUAUUAGAUAAAAUGAAAAACCACUUAUGGUAUCUGUCCGAGAAAGCCGUUGGUCUCGCCUUUUUCGAUUCUAAUGUGGACUUAAAUAUGAAAAGAAAGAUGGUUGAAGCACAAGCAUUAGAAAAAAAGUUUGAAAGCAAUGACGAAAAUGGCGUUUAUCUGCAUAAAAAUGUAAACGGCAGCAUUGAAGAAAUGAACGCAUUCAUAAGUAAAGAUUUAAAUUGUUUUGUAACGCAUAGAACUAGAAAUAUCUUUUCAAGAUUGGAAAUAGACGUAAAAUUUUUCAACUUAGAUCCCUCAAACUGGUGCGAAAAUGCAGAAUAUUUAAAAGGUGUUCAAAUCCUCAAAAACGUCACUGCUGUUAAUGAUUCUGCUGAGAGGAAAGUAAAACUAAUAACAGAUUUUAACCGGUCUUUAACUCAUAGCGAAGAAUAUAAACAAUACUUUCUUCAUAUUGUCGAGAACUACAGGCAAAAGUUCCCUUCAUAUACAAAAACUUCGCUUUUAUAAUA